GAUUUUGCAUUAAAAAUAUUUUAAGAUGUUUCGUUUUUUUAAAUUAUAAUUAUUAAAAAUAAUUCCCGUGAUGCUGCAGAUGAAGACGAAAUCAGAUCAGCCUCUCAGGGCGGGUGUGAGAGAUGCAGAGAGACAAAGACAGUAUUUCACUGGUGCUCCUCAGCCAGCCUCAGCUGGCACCCAGUAUUUACAACCUACUGCAAUGCGGCAGAGGAUCCGUGCGUGAGCGUGUGCGUGAGCGCGUGAGAUGGAAACAAAGAGACAAAAGGGGGGUCUGGUCUGGACACACCGAGGCAAACGCUGAAGUCUGACGCCAAAGAUGCGCACGCAUGCAUGGUUUUGUCCAACAGGCCUGACCCGCAGGAGAAUGAGCUCAGAGCCGCAGCUGGACAUCAGGGACGCUGCUGACUCAAUGCCACAGACGUCACACCUCUGUAGGCAGCUGGAUGGCAUCACCUGCAGGUAAAACUCACCAUGCAAUAUAUAACAGUGUCGUAUCUGAAAGAGGAUUUUUUUUCUUAAAGGUGAAACAGAACUUUGAUUUAAAAUUUAAAUUAAGAAACCGUUUUUUUUAAACUUUUCUUAUUUAAAGUGGCUCUAAAAUAUAGGGAAUGUAGUUUUACAUAUUUACCGCUAGAGGGCGGCAGUGCACAGAGAAUGAAGGGAGAGGCGCCAGCUUUUUUUCUGAAUUAAAAAAAACAAAACCUCUUUUUUUUACUAAUAAUGAGGGUGGGGCUUUGAGUUUGUGUAAUUUAUACAUUUUAAACAGAUAGUUUUAUUUAUUCGUUAUUUAUUGACAAAUACAUUUAUUUUACAAUUCAAAAAAUCCUCACAUUUACAUGUAGUGCAGAAGCUUAAAAUUGUAAUAAAAACUGUAAAAAUAUGAUGGUUUUAUUCCUCAGACACACAGUAUUUUUAAUGGAAUUAUUUAGAACUAAAAUCUAAGCACCAAAGUGCAAAAAAAAUAUUUUAAGAAAACCAACAGCACUACAUUGUGAAAAACACAGAAAAACAAUUAUAAAAAGGUAAAUAUAAAUAACAACUACUCUGGAUUUGAUUUCAAGCACUAAAAACAACAAAUAAUAAAGAAGACAAGGAGAUACACAUCUAUACAUGUCUGAUCAAUUGUGACGUGAUUGGAAAAUUAAACAUUUAAAAGUAAGAGAUACAUAUAAAAAAUGAUACAGAUCCAUAUGUCAGUGAUGUCAUUAGGAUUACUCGUGAUGAUUAAUAGAUAUGCUGUACAUACACAUAAAAUAAAUGACAAUGAUUUUAUUAUUAUUUUCUUACAAAGGAAAAAAGUAGUAACAUCAUAGUAUGUGGUAUGAUAUGGUAUAUUACAAUGGUAUAGUGUAGUAUAAAUGAGUUAUCUACUUUUGAAUCAACUAAUAUAUUAGAAACAUCGGUUUAGAACUUCAGCCAGUAACAGCUCAGAAUUUGUCUUAGACAUUUAAAAGAGCAUCGACCAAUAGAAAUUCAGGUAUUAUCUGUUGUUUUUAUUGUCUGUUUUAUUUAAUUAUUUAAUUACCUAUUUGUUUGUUUGUUUGUUUGAGCUACAAACAAUUCAAAUUCCACGUCGUGAGAUCAAAUCAAGUCAUACUUUUCCUAGAAGUUGUUUGGACUGCGCUUGCAGUUCGUUUUACGACCACUAGGUGGCGAUAAAAACUCACCAAUGAUCAGAAUCUCUGGGCCUUUCUUUUUUUCUUUCAUUAUUUUUAAGUGACCAAAAGCUUCCACCUCCAUCCUCCUUUGCCUGGAUGCGUUUUUAAAACUCUAACAACUCACUAUCUAAAAAUUAAAAAACUGUAAAUCAAAAGGCGUCAGAAGCUGAGAUGAAAUUUGUGAAGACAAACAAUAUUUGGUCAUAUUUGUUAUCUAAAAUGAAUUACUUUUAAUUGUUUUAAUUGACAGGAAACAUCUGGAGUACAUGAAUUAUUGUCUUACACAGAUCGUCCAUACUGAUCUAAAUGACACAUUAUUUAAAAUAGCUUCAGGUCAAUGAACAGUAGUUGGUGAAAACUCCUGGCGGGACUUUAAAGUCUUGUUUGGACUCAAAGCGUUCCCUCUGUAGCCUGUGAGCUGCUUAAACACGCACGCCUUGACACGGUGACACGCACAGACGCGCAGCGUGUUUUCACAGGGUCGCUUUAUGGCUUUAUUGCUCCCCAUGUACGGAAAUCAAAGCAGGAAACAAAUGCUCCAAACAGCAUUCCAGACACAUCCGGAAAAAUGCAAACAGCGCUUGGCCUCAGCUCCGUUUUCAGGAAAAACCCCGCAGUGCAAAAACACACGAGCGGAGUGCGCAUUCUCUGCGCGUCCUGUGCAAUAUUCUCUAAACGAUGCCAAACGGCGCAAAGAAACGGCGAUCGGUGUAGUGUCCUCCAGCUCAGCCCUCCUGUGAUUAAAGGCCCUUUUUUUCCUUUGGCGCCAUCAUCAAGCAAAGCGGCUCUCUGAACACGGCCUAA